rnacentral:rRNA from 1 species
UACGUAGGGUGCGAGCGUUAAUCGGAAUUACUGGGCGUAAAGCGUGCGUAGACGGUUAUUUAAGUCAGGUGUGAAAGCCCCGGGCUCAACCUGGGAAUUGCAUUUGAGACUGAAUAGCUAGGGUGCGGAAGAGGGAAGCGGAAUUUCCGGUGUAGCGGUGAAAUGCGUAGAUAUCGGAAGGAACACCAGUGGCGAAAGCGGCUUCCUGGUCCAGCACCGACGUCAGGCACGAAAGCGUGGGGAGCAAACAGG